ACACACACACACCGUCUAUUUCCCUCCCCCAGCCGUUCUCCAUCCUUCCCGCUUCCCGGAUUGAGAGUGCCCGGCCGGCACCCAGACUCCACGGCACAUACAAACAGCUAGAGCCGCUAAAAAUCGCCAAAAAAACCCGCAGGGAUAAACGCAGAGGUCUGAUGUCGGGAAUCGGACAGGCUCCAAGUAGCGGCCGAGUGAAGUUGACGAUGGCGGCCGAUUGCCGUUCUCAAUAAGCCGCCAGCUUUGCGUGACCUUAUGUGCUAGCACAAGGAGAUUCGAGCACCAGGUUUACAACGUUUAAUCCCUGUGGCCGGUGGCAGUUUGAGACAACACGUCCAACCAGGUCUACCGAGUUGUUCAUCACUUACGUGAUCCUAGGGUCAACCGCACUCUUUCGGGGUCACCCCUUGAUUACUGUGGUUGCAUUAAACUGCAUGUUCUGGGAGCAUUAUGUAAUGUCCCUUGCAAGUUCAACCUGUAUGUACUAUGUACAGCAUAGGCUUUAACUUUUAUAUAUGAGGUUUUUACUCACAAAAUGGUUAUUUUCAAUAUGAAUAUUGUACUAUGCAAUAUAUAAUUUACGAUAUAUAAAUAACAAGUGAUCAUGUUUUAAAAUCCUGUGCUUAAAGUGAAACAGAUUUAUAGAUUAUACCUGUUUGUGAAGAUUUCACUGAGCAUAUGUAAUCAAUGACAUGAGCAUUAUUUGUGAAAUACAGUUUUUAACCCAAAUGGGUACCACC